rnacentral:rRNA from 1 species
GGACUACACGGGUUUCUAAUCCUGUUUGCUCCCCACGCUUUCGCGCCUCAGCGUCAGUAUCGGUCCAGAGAGCCGCCUUCGCCACCGGUGUUCUUCCCAAUAUCUACGAAUUUCACCUCUACACUGGGAAUUCCACUCUCCUCUCCCGAACUCUAGCUCCGCCGUCCCAAGCGCCAUUCCCAGGUUGAGCCCGGGGCUUUCACGCCUGACAAACGGAGCCGCCUGCGCGCCCUUUACGCCCAGUAAAUCCGAACAACGCUCGCCCCCUUCGUAUUACCGCGGCGGCUGGCAC